rnacentral:rRNA from 1 species
UGAAUACGAGACGCUAAGGCGUCGAAGUAGUGUAUGUCAUACUUCCAAGAAAAGCUUGCACUGUCAUAGAUAAAAAACGCCUGUACCAUAACCGACACAGGUGGGAAGGUAGAGUAUACUAAGGGGCGCGAGAUAACUCUCUCUAAGGAACUCGGCAAAAUAACUCCGUAACUUCGGGAGAAGGAGUGCCUUAUUCGUAAGGUUGCAAUAACAAGAUCCAAGCAACUGUUUAUCAAAAACACAGGUCUCCGCUAAGUCGUAAGACGAUGUAUGGGGGCUGACGCCUGCCCAGUGCCAGAAGGUUAAAGAAGUUGGUUAGCAAUUGCGAAGCUGAUAACCGAAGCCCUGUGAACGGCGGCCGUAACAAUAACGGUCCUAAGGUAGCGAAAUUCCUUGUCGGGUAAGUUCCGACCCGCACGAAAGGCGUAAUGAUUUGGAUACUGUCUCGGAGAGGGGCUCGGUGAAAUAGACUUGUCUGUGAAGAUGCGGACUACCUGCACCAGGACAGAAAGACCCUAUGAAGCUUUACUGUAACUUGAAAUUGAAAUUGGACUUUAUUCGCGCAGUAUAGGUGGGAGGCGUUGAUUAUAAUCUUGUGUGAUUAUUGGAGCCAUCAGUGAGAUACCACUCUUGUAAUGUUAGAUUUCUAACUUUGAAUCAUUAUCUGGUCAAAGAACAGUUUUCAGGCGGGCAGUUUGACUGGGGCGGUCGCCUCCUAAACGGUAACGGAGGCGUACAAAGGUUUCCUCUGAACGGUUAGAAAUCGUAUCUAGAGUGUAAAGGCAUAAGGAAGCUUGACUGUGAGACCUACAAGUCGAGCAGGGACGAAAGUCGGUCUUAGUGAUCUGACGGUACUGAGUGGAAAGGCCGUCACUCAACGGAUAAAAGUUACUCUAGGAUAACAGGCUGAUCUCCCCCAAGAGUUCACAUCGACGGGGAGGUUUGGCACCUCGAUGUCGGCUCAUCGCAUCCUGGGGCGGUAGUACGUCCCAAGGGUUGGGCUGUUCGCCCAUGAAAGCGGUACGCGAGCUGGGUUCAGAACGUCGUGAGACAGUUCGGUCCAUAUCCGGUGUAGGCGUUAGAAUAUUGAGAGGAGCCUUCUUUAGUACGAGAGGACCGAGAAGGACAUACCUCUGGUGUACCAGUUAUCGUGCCAACGGUAAACGCUGGGUAGCUAUGUAUGGAGUGGAUAACCGCUGAAAGCAUCUAAGUGGGAAGCCCACCUCAAGAUAAGUAUUCUCAUC